UCUAUCUUUUCUCUACCACAACUCUAUCUUCACUCUACCAAAUCUCUUCUCUGAACCGUUUAAUCUCCAAUCAAGUGUCGCCAAAACGUCCACAACGUAGUGGGCUUCGAAACUAACCGAUUCAUGUCGGGUUCUAAGCUGGUAAGUGUGACAUCCGGGCACUGACGAGGGCGGGGAGUGACGCCGGUGCAAGAGGCAUGGUGCAGGGGGCACAGACAAGGAGCGACUCCUGGCAGCUUCGAGUGGAAGGGGUACAUGGACGAAUCGAACAUACACCGGAAUGAGAGGGAUCUGGAGACUGUGUAGGUAUGGGACUAUACAGUUGAAGGAUAGCUUAAAGGAAUUGAUUUGACUACUCAUAUCUCCAAAAUGCAUUUGCUUUUCGGUAGCCUGACCCAUAAGAACUUCAUGGUUAAGCGUGCUUAGCCUGGAGUAAUUCUGGAAUGGGUGACCUUCUGGGAAGUUUUCCCAGAAAGUGUGCGAGUGAGGACAAAGCACACUGGAAAGCUUGGUGGUGAUCUGUGGGGGCAGUCGACACUCCCUGUGAGUUGCCGGGGCGUUACAGGUUUUGAUGAGUUCUUGCGGUGAAGGAACUGUUGGUGUGUUCUUGCGAGCUAUCCAGUCAAGUUACUCUAAGAGAUGGAUGAGGUGCUUUUGGAGCAGGCUUUGGAGGAAGAUGAUGAUGCUGCUUAGUCUACUUAGGAUUCUAUCAGUUAUUCUUUAUCUUUUGAAAUACUCUAUUAUGUUUAAGUUUUAAAUUAGGACUCAA